rnacentral:lncRNA from 1 species
UGCUAUUUUUGCAUGAAUUGAAGAAGGGCAGAGAAAAAGGAAUAAGAAAAAAAGAAAAAAAAAGAAAGAAGACGUGAUGUUUGAAGGAAAAAAGAAUAGGAAAAAAAAAGGAGAAAAAAAAGGUAGAAAAGAAUAAAGACAAAAAACGUUGGUUUUUUGUUUGAAGGCCCACACGGGUAGAAAGAAAUAUGGUCUGUUUGGUUGGAUUUUUUUUUUUAUUGUUUGUUUGGAAGUUGGUAUUGGUAUUGGUAUUAGCAUCGACAUCUGCAUCGACAUCGGCAGCGGCAUCGGCAUCGGCAUUGACACUGGAAUUUGGAGUCUUGCAUCCACAUCUACU